rnacentral:sRNA from 2 species
AUUUAAUAAUGGCCAAAUCUCAAACAUUGAGAACGGAGGACCCAAUAUAUUGGGGUUAAUUCUGAAAUACAGAAAGGAUGAGAAACUCUUUCGCCAUCCUACCCGUCAGCUAACUUCGUCGGCUAAAGCGAAGGAGGUC